rnacentral:rRNA from 1 species
UACACUCCUACGGGAGGCAGCAGUGAGGAAUAUUGGACAAUGGGUGGAAGCCUGAUCCAGCCAUCCCGCGUGCAGGAAGACGGCCCUAUGGGUUGUAAACUGCUUUUAUCUGGGGAUAAACCUACUUACGUGUAAGUAGCUGAAGGUACCAGAAGAAUAAGCACCGGCUAACUCCGUGCCAGCAGCCGCGGUAAUACGGAGGGUGCAAGCGUUAUCCGGAUUUAUUGGGUUUAAAGGGUCCGUAGGCGGACUGAUAAGUCAGUGGUGAAAUCCGACAGCUUAACUGUCGAACUGCCAUUGAUACUGUUAGUCUUGAGUAAGGUUGAAGUGGCUGGAAUAAGUAGUGUAGCGGUGAAAUGCAUAGAUAUUACUUAGAACACCAAUUGCGAAGGCAGGUCACUAAGUCUUAACUGACGCUGAUGGACGAAAGCGUGGGGAGCGAACAGGAUUAGAAACCCUUGUAGUCCCAUGAU